GACGAACGCUGGCGGCGUGCUUAACACAUGCAAGUCGAGCGGAAAGGCCCUUUCGGGGGUACUCGAGCGGCGAACGGGUGAGUAACACGUGAGUAACCUGCCCUUGGCUUUGGGAUAACCCUCGGAAACGGGGGCUAAUACCGAAUAUUCACUGUCUCUCGCAUGGGGGGUGGUGGAAAGAUUUUUUGGCUGGGGAUGGGCUCGCGGCCUAUCAGCUUGUUGGUGGGGUGAUGGCCUACCAAGGCGACGACGGGUAGCCGGCCUGAGAGGGCGACCGGCCACACUGGGACUGAGACACGGCCCAGACUCCUACGGGAGGCAGCAGUGGGGAAUAUUGCACAAUGGGCGCAAGCCUGAUGCAGCGACGCCGCGUGAGGGAUGACGGCCUUCGGGUUGUAAACCUCUUUCAGCAGGGACGAAGCGUAAGUGACGGUACCUGCAGAAGAAGC
rnacentral:rRNA from 1 species